rnacentral:lncRNA from 1 species
GUCGACAGAAGCUUUCCUGGGCUCAGCGCAUAGCAGCUGCUACAGGGGUAGCAAAGGGUAUCCAGUUUCUUCAUACAGGAAUUGUACCUGGUGUUUUUGCCAACAACAUUAAAAUAACAGAUGUUCUAUUGGAUCAGAACCUUGUCGCGAAAAUCAGCAGCUACAACCUGCCUCUGCUAUCGGACAAUAUGGAAAAGGUAUGAAUAAACUUCUCAUAUUUGUGUUUUCAAAUGAUUCUUGCACAAACUGAAUGUAAAAUCUUCUCAACUGUACAGGAUAGUCUCCAAAACUUUUUUGGUGGAUCAAAGGAGCAUAAGAGGGCAAGGUUAGUGACUCCCGGUUGCUUGUUAUUUCUUCACGUGCAAAACUAGGAACCAUAAGCUUCUUCUUGAUGCAAAUGUGAAGACUUUAUGUGUAUUGAUUGACAGAGCAAAGCAUCAAGAUAAGUUGGAUAUUUAUGACUUUGGAGUAAUUCUACUAGAACUCAUCACGGGGAAGCCUAUAAAUUCCAGGAACGAGGAGGAUGCAGUAAAAGAUGAGGUAGUCAUGAACUAUAAUUGCAUUAUGUUAUCUCCCUUCUUCCCAAAGUACCAAAGGAUGCAGUAAAAUGAAGUUAACUGAGCUUAUAUCAGUUUAAAAGAGCCAAAAUAUUCUACCAAAACUGAGCAACUGGUAAUACUUUCAUUUAAAAUAUGUUAUGCAGAUGAAUGCGAGAAUAACAAGUGAGGAUUCAUCGAGGAGUUUAGUCGAUCCAGCAGUUAGAAACACGUGCUCUGGUGAAUCCGCGAGAACAAUGAUUGGGAUAUGCUGCAGAUGCUUACUCAAAGAUCCAGCUGAAAGACCUUCCAUCGAAGAUGUAGUCUGGAAUCUGCAGUUUGCUGCUCAGGUUCAGGAUGCAUCUCAAAGCAGCGACGGCUCUCCCAUUUCUCCUCUGCA